rnacentral:rRNA from 1 species
UACGUAGGGUGCGAGCGUUAAUCGGAUUCAUUGGGCGUAAAGGGUGCGUAGGCGGCGCGGUAAGUCGGGUGUGAAAUCUCGGGGCUUAACUCCGAAACUGCAUUCGAUACUGCCGUGCUUGAGGACUGGAGAGGAGACUGGAAUUUACGGUGUAGCGGUGAAAUGCGUAGAUAUCGUAAGGAAGACCAGUGGCGAAGGCGGGUCUCUGGACAGUUCCUGACGCUGAGGCACGAAGGCCAGGGGAGCAAACGGG